AAUUGAUAAGGUUCACUUGGAGCUCCAAAAUUCUGAGCCUGCGUUCAGGACAUUGCGCCUUUAAGGAAACUUCCUGCCUUGCGCCCCAGUAACAGCUGAUUGUUGGAAAGUGUGACCUCUGGGGACGAAUCAGCUGUUACCACAUCCUCCUCCUUGCUUACCCUCCUCCAUCCCCUUAUCCACUCCCAUGGGUGGUGAAGGAAAGAACGUGGGGGAUGUGAUUGUAUGAUCUUUCUUUUCCCCCAUCACUCCAAGACUGUCUCCCCCAACCCCAACCCCGCUCUGCUCCUUAGUUCUUCAGAGGCUCUGGGCUUGGAAAGAGAGGUAUUUCCUGUUAGCACAGUAAAUUCAGACUCUGUGGUCUAGACCCUCCCUGGUCUAGGGGAAGGCCAGUACUGGGGAGGUCCAGAAUGGUGGCUGGCGCUGGGGAGGGUACAGUGAACCCGAGGACCAAGCCUGGGGAGGAGGAAUGGCUAUGGGAAGCAAACUUGGGGUUCAGAACGCUGCUUCUCAGGCCAGCCGCCCCCUACUUCCUACUCAAGUUGCCCUAUUCCUCCAUGGACAGGUGUCUGCUGAUGGGAUCCUCCUGCUUUUGCCCAUUUACUCCACCUCCUUAUUUAUUUUUUUUUUUUCUGUUUUUGAGACAGAGUCUCGCUCUGUUGCCCAGGCUGGAGUGCAGUGGCGCGAUCUCGGCUCACUGCAACCUCCACCUCCCGGGUUCAAGCGAUUCUCCUCCUUCAGCCUCCUGAGUAGCUGGGAUUACAGGCGUGCGCUACCACUCCCAGCUAAUUUUUGUAUUUUUAGUAGAGAUGGUGUUUUGCCAUGUGGGCCAGGCUGGUCUCGAACUCCUCACCUCAGGUGAUCCACCCGCCUCGGUCUCCCAAAGUGCUAGGAUUAUAGGCGUGUGAGCCACCGCGCCCGGCCGCAUUCACUCCACUUCUAACUGUUCUCAGCUGCCACCUGGUCCCUGGGCCGCUCCAUUUUUGGCUUUUGGCGGUGCCCUGCCCACAUGGCCACCCCCCAUAGCAAGGGUCCUAAUUGCUCAAGGACUGCAGGUGGGACACGUUGGCCCCAGAAGCCAGCGUCUUUGGCUGGGAAGUGCUGGGAAGACCCAGGUAAAUAUUUUGCCUCGAUCCUGAGUUGGGAGUCAGGGUCACUCCAGGACAAGCUUAGUGUGAAGUCCUAGGACUGACUUGGCAAGGCGUGGAGAAAUUGAGCAGGGCCCUGGCCAAGCAUGGAAGGAAGUGAAGCCUCACCAGUGGCCCCUAUUCUCCAUUAUCCUGAGCAUAGAAAUCCCAUCCCUUUCCCACUCACGGCCCUUGGGGUGACCCUUUUCCAUUUUGUUCUGAACACUGACCCCACCCCCUAGGUCAAAAGCACAGGCUUCGAGUCCAGGGUUUCGCCACCUCAGCACCCACUGGCAUUUUAAGUAGAAUAAUUUCUUGUGGGAGGGCUACCGGGUGCACAAUAGGACAUCCACGUGGUCCCUGGCCUCUGUCCUAGAUGUCAGUGGCAACACCCACCCACCCCCAGCUCCCAGUUUUGACAACCAAAAGUAUCUCCAGACGUUACCAAAUGUCUCCUAGGGGCCAAAAUCUCCUCCAACUGAGAACUACUGUGUUAGGCACACUUAGAUUCAAAUUCCAGCUCUUACUAGCUGUGAACUUGUUACCGAUAAUUUCCCCUCAUCUACAACAUACGGUGA
rnacentral:lncRNA from 10 species